CCCCGCCCCGCCCCCAGCAGCCAACUCUUGCUACUUGGACCUGUCGGUUCGCCCAGGUCCUCAGGAUGCUCAGGCUAGGCUGGGCUGUCAGUACUGGCCUUCACUGAAGGCUAGGAACACGACGCGACACUGGACGGAGAAGACUUGUGCCGGCCAGGCUCUGGCUGGAUUUUUCCUCGCCGGGACUACAUUUUCCUGAGGGCUCUGCGGCAUUUGCACUUCCGGCCAAAGUUGGCUGGCCGGGGUGGGUUGGAGGGAGUUCGGGCGCAACGGGUCGGGGCGUUGCGGGCGGCCUGACUCACUGGUUUGGGGCGGAUUCGACCAGAUUGGAGUGUGAGGACCCGCGAGAAGUGCUCGAAUCCAGAAGAGGAGAGAAAAACCACUGUACAUCAAAAGUCAUGGCGGAGAAUGGGAUCAUGCUACUGAUAGAAGCAACCAACUUAUUGAGUGUUUACUUUAAGCCGCUUGUAGUUUCAAGUUUUCAAGUUUACACGUGUUACCAUGUUGAAUCCACAUUAAUAACCCUGUGACACAGGGCUUCAAGUUCAAAGAUGUGGCCAUUUACUUCUCUCAAAAGGAGUGGGAAUGCUUGCACUCUGCUCAGAAGGCUUUGUACCGAGAUGUAAUGUUGGAGAAUUAUAACAACCUCAUCUCACUGGGUAAGUUAUGUGCCCCCCAAAAUUCAGAAUUGGCCUUCUGGAAUUUUAUGUUCUUCUUUAUGAAUUUCUCAUGAGUGCUUCUCAAAUGCCUGGCUGAAUUAAUGAAUUAAUGAUUCUUGUUGCUUCCCAAAGAAGGGAUUAUCCAUUAUGAAGUUAGAAUUGGCUGCUCCGGGGUGCCUUGGUGGCGCAGUCAUUAAGCGUCUGCC